UACCAGCACCCCGAGUGGUCGGGACGAUUAUUGGGCCUAAAGCAUCCGUAGCCGGUCCUACAAGUCUUCCGUUAAAUCCACCUGCUCAACAGAUGGGCUGCGGAAGAUACUACGUGGCUAGGAGGCGGGAGAGGCAAGCGGUACUCAGUGGGUAGGGGUAAAAUCCUUUGAUCCAUUGAAGACCACCAGUGGCGAAGGCGGCUUGCCAGAACGCGCUCGACGGUGAGGGAUGAAAGCUGGGGGAGCAAACC
rnacentral:rRNA from 1 species